CCUACGGGUGAGCUGCAGUGGGGAAUAUUGGACAAUGGGCGAAAGCCUGAUCCAGCCAUGCCGCGUGUGUGAAGAAGGCCUUCGGGUUGUAAAGCACUUUCAGUGGGGAAGAAAGCCUUGGGGCUAAUACCCUCGAGGAAGGACAUCACCCACAGAAGAAGCACCGGCUAACUCCGUGCCAGCAGCCGCGGUAAUACGGAGGGUGCGAGCGUUAAUCGGAAUUACUGGGCGUAAAGCGCGCGUAGGCGGUCUGAUAAGCCGGUUGUGAAAGCCCCGGGCUCAACCUGGGAACGGCAUCCGGAACUGUCAGGCUAGAGUGCAGGAGAGGAAGGUAGAAUUCCCGGUGUAGCGGUGAAAUGCGUAGAGAUCGGGAGGAAUACCAGUGGCGAAGGCGGCCUUCUGGACUGACACUGACGCUGAGGUGCGAAAGCGUGGGUAGCAAACAGGAUUAGAUACCCCAGUAGUC
rnacentral:rRNA from 1 species